rnacentral:ncRNA from 1 species
ACAAUUAAAAGGCAAACUGUACCGAAAGGUCAGGACGCAAAGCCGCUGGUCUAAUAAUGUUCGUUACGAAUGUUAAUGAUGGCAGUGGUUGCAUUA